rnacentral:rRNA from 1 species
ACGUAGGGUGCGAGCGUUAAUCGGAAUUACUGGGCGUAAAGCGUGCGCAGGCGGUUGCAUAAGACAGAUGUGAAAUCCCCGGGCUUAACCUGGGAACUGCGUUUGUGACUGUGUAACUGGAGUACGGCAGAGGGGGGUGGAAUUCCUGGUGUAGCAGUGAAAUGCGUAGAUAUCAGGAGGAACACCGAUGGCGAAGGCAGCCCCCUGGGCCUGUACUGACGCUCAUGCACGAAAGCGUGGGGAGCAAACAGGAUUAGAUACCCUGGUAGUCCACGCCCUAAACGAUGUCGACUAGUUGUUCGGGAAGGUGACUUCUUGAGUAACGAAGCUAACGCGUGAAGUCGACCGCCUGGGGAGUACGGUCGCAAGAUUA